CACACAAUGCUUCACAAUACACACCCCCCCCAUAUGCAUCCCUUAAACACAGAGAAACAUACACUGCAUCUCUUUUACACACACUACGUGCUUUUACAUACACAGAAACACACAUUGUAUCCCUUGCACAUACAAACAGAUUCACACAAUGCAUCCUAUCCCUUACACAAAAACACAAGCAUCCAUUACACACCCUGCCCCCUGCAUUACCUACACAAACUGGU